CCUACGGGUGGCAGCAGUGGGGGAUAUUGCACAAUGGGGGGAACCCUGAUGCAGCGACGCCGCGUGGGUGAAGAAGCGCCUCGGCGCGUAAAGCCCUGUCAGCAGGGAAGAAAAUGACGGUACCUGAAGAAGAAGCCCCGGCUAACUACGUGCCAGCAGCCGCGGUAAUACGUAGGGGGCAAGCGUGAUCCGGAUUUACGGGGUGUAAAGGGGGCGCAGACGGCGAUGCAAGCCAGGAGUGAAAGCCCGGGGGCCAACCCCGGGACUGCUCUUGGAACUGCGUGGCUGGAGUGCAGGAGGGGCAGGCGGAAGUCCUGGUGUAGCGGUGAAAUGCGUAGAUAUCAGGAGGAACACCGGUGGCGAAGGCGGCCUGCUGGACUGCAACUGACGUUGAGGCCCGAAAGCGUGGGGAGCAAACAGGAUUAGAUACCCGAGUAGUC
rnacentral:rRNA from 1 species